AUCACACCUGUACUCGCUUUGAGUCAGACGAAAGAAACAAAGAGUCUCAAGGAAAACAUCUCGAAGCAUACGGUUCCCGAGAUGGAUUUUAUGCUUUUUCUGGUAGCUGUGUCAAGUCUUUUUCAUUCUGCUUGGCCACGUAAGUUUGCUAGUGGGUAAAUACUUUGAAGGGAAUCGAUCAGUCAUGGCUCACGGAAACUGCAAAAGACAAAAAAA